GAUGAACGCUCGCUACAGGCUUAACACGUGCAAGUCGCGGGGCAGCAUGGGGGUUGCUUGCAAUCCCCGAUGGCGACCGGCGCACGGGUGAGUAACGCGUAUCCAACCUGCCCUUCACCACGGGAUAACCCGGCGAAAGUCGGACUAAUACCGUAUGUUGUCCAUUGACGGCAUCCGAUUUGGACGAAAGGUUUGGCGGGGAAGGAUGGGGAUGCGUCCGAUUAGCUGGACGGCGGGGUGACGGCCCACCGUGGCGACGAUCGGUAGGGGUUCUGAGAGGAAGGUCCCCCACGCUGGAACUGAGACACGGUCCAGACUCCUACGGGAGGCAGCAGUGAGGAAUAUUGGUCAAUGGGCGUAAGCCUGAACCAGCCAAGUAGCGUGCAGGAUGACGGCCCUAUGGGUUGUAAACUGCUUUUAUGCGGGGAUAAAGUGGCCCACGUGUGGGUUUUUGCAGGUACCGCAUGAAUAAGGACCGGCUAAUUCCGUG
rnacentral:rRNA from 1 species